UACGGAGGGAGCUAGCGUUGUUCGGAAUUACUGGGCGUAAAGCGCGCGUAGGCGGCUUUGUAAGUUAGAGGUGAAAGCCCGGGGCUCAACCCCGGAACUGCCUUUAAAACUGCAUCGCUUGAAUCCGGGAGAGGUGAGUGGAAUUCCGAGUGUAGAGGUGAAAUUCGUAGAUAUUCGGAAGAACACCAGUGGCGAAGGCGACUUCCUGGCCUGUUCUUGACGCUGAGGCGCGAAAGCUAGGGGAGCAAACGGG
rnacentral:rRNA from 1 species